rnacentral:rRNA from 1 species
AUUGAACGCUGGCGGCAGGCCUAACACAUGCAAGUCGAGCGGAGCGGCGGACGGGUGAGUAAUGCCUAGGAAUCUGCCUGGUAGUGGGGGAUAACGUCCGGAAGCGGGCGCUAAUACCGCAUACUAUCAGAUGAGCCUAGGUCGGAUUAGCUAGUUGGUGGGGUAAAGGCUUACCAAGGCGACGAUCCGUAACUGGUCUGAGAGGAUGAUCAGUCAAACGGGAACGAGGAAAGGGUCCGGACUCCUACGGGAGGAAGCGGUGGGGAAUUUUGGACAAUGGGCGAAAUCCUGAUCCAGCCAUGCCGGGGGUGUGAAGAAGGUCUUCGGAUUGUAAAGCACUUUAAGUUGGGAGGCGUUACCAACAGAAUAAGCACCGGCUAACUUCUUGCCAGCAGCCGCGGUAAAC